rnacentral:lncRNA from 1 species
AUCUCCUUGUGUGGCAGUAGCUUCUUGCUCUGUGUGAGAAAAUAAAGAAGGAAAAGGAAAACAAAGUUGAGUUAAAAUUCAGGAAAAAAACCACAAGUCAAUCUAGUUAAACAUUUUCACAUUUGAACAAAAGAAAACAAAGAUGAAAAAAACCACCAACACCUUUGUAUUAGUUAGGCCUUUACUUAGCGUAGCUAGAAACAAAGGACCACAUUGCAGAAAACUAACCAAAUAGUUGCCAAAGAAGCAUAGUUUAACACCAUCUCCAAUUCCCUAACAUCAUCAAUAUUUAGUAACAGAUUAAUUCUAAUCAUCAUAUCAUAGAGACUAAAACAUGCUAAAUCAAAAAUUAGUGAUUUUGCAACAAUUAAAGUAUCACAACUUAUCGUUAUCCGGAACAUUAAUCGUUCAAAAAAACCUUCUAACAUGUUUGAAUCUGUAAAAUGAUUAUAACAUCAUAUGCAAAUCAAGAUGCAAGAAAAAGUUAACCAAGACCACGACACCUAACUCACCCUUAAAGCACCACCAAAUUGAGGAGGUCAAAUUGUCUUGCAUUCUUUUCCCUCUGCUAUUUUCCAAACAAGUCAGCAUGCACCUUUCUCAUGUUAACCAGAAGUUAUAAUGCAGAAAUUCUGCAGCAAGCCAUCCAAAAAGCGCAAAAAAAUAUUAAAAUGAACAUAUAUAAAACAGCUCCUUUAAAGACCAAAAAAAUCAAACAAGAACCGACUGCUACUGUUAUACUUAGGCUUAAAUCAACCAUUUGAGCAAAACAUAAUGUGUUUUCUCAAAUGAAUUGAGCCAAAAAACUGAAAUAUUAUAUCAAUUCAAUUUCAUACCUUAAUACUUUUGGCCCGUUGAUCACAUUAGUGAUCAUAUAGACAACCCAUUCCUUCUUCACCACAUCUAACAUAUCUCUAGAGUAUGUACGAGAUUAGUGGGAACCAAAGUACUACAAGUAAAAAAAAAUAACAUAAAAUUGAGUUAGAAUUGAAUUUCAAACUAAUUCUUAGGAAACUAUUGCACUAACAUAAAAAAAC